CUCUGAAGUGUGGACGCCAGUCCGCAUGGCGCCGACCUUGAAAUACCACCCUUUAAUGUUUGAUGUUCUAACGUGGACCCGUAAUCCGGGUUGCGGACAGUGUCUGGUGAGUACGUUGCCUGCGGCGGUCCCCUCCUAAAGAGUAACGGAUGUAGCACGAAGGUUGGUUAAUCCUGGUCGGACAUCAGGAGGUUAGUGCAAUGGCAUAAGCCAUCUUGACUGCGAGCGUGAC
rnacentral:rRNA from 1 species